CAGAACCUGAUGGCUUCCUCAGAGCUGUGAAAUGUUUUUAUUCCACACCACUGGGUCCCACCCUGGCAAGGGAGCAAAAAUGUGCUUCUGCUGCCAGCCCAGAGGAGGGUGUUGCUAGAGCUCAGACUCCUGCUUCUACCACCUCCACAACUUCUAUCCCUAAUAAAUUCUACUACACCCAAAUCAGAAGUGCACUCACAAGAGCAGAAGCUUUGGGCCUGCAGCCAACAGCAAGGCUGAAGCCCAUUCUGGCUCUGUCCUGGAGCUGGCAUCCAUGACCUCAUUUGCCCUUGCCCUCUGUGUGCCAUGUGGGAUGAGCCACAACCUGUGGAUAGCAUCUCCUCAAGCAAACAGUGUCAUAUGGACAGCUUGGUCAGUGGGGACCUUGGGAAACUACUCAGAUAUUUUAGCACUUCAGUCCUAAGUACUUCAUCUGAAUCUAAAGCGCUUGGUUUGAGCUUCGUGGUGCACUGCAUCCUGAGUCUUCAGCUGCCUGAGUUUCUGUCCCUUCCUACCUCAUGCCAGUCACCCCUGCCAAUGGAAGUGAGUUGA
rnacentral:lncRNA from 1 species